rnacentral:rRNA from 1 species
UUCCAGACUCCUACGGGAGGCAGCAGUGGGGAAUAUUGCACAAUGGGGGGAACCCUGAUGCAGCGACGCCGCGUGAGUGAAGAAGUAUUUCGGUAUGUAAAGCUCUAUCAGCAGGGAAGAAAAUGACGGUACCUGACUAAGAAGCCCCGGCUAACUACGUGCCAACAGCCGCGGUAAUACGUAGGGGGCAAGCGUUAUCCGGAUUUACUGGGUGUAAAGGGAGCGUAGACGGCUGAGCAAGUCUGAAGUGAAAGGCGGGGGCCCAACCCCCGGACUGCUUUGGAAACUGUAUAGCUAGAGUGCAGGAGAGGUAAGUGGAAUUCCUAGUGUAGCGGUGAAAUGCGUAGAUAUUAGGAGGAACACCAGUGGUGAAGGCGGCUUACUGGACUGUAACUGACGUUGAGGCUCGAAAGCGUGGGGAGCAAACAGGAUUAGAUACCCCCGUAAC